rnacentral:tRNA from 1 species
GGGGCUGUGGCUCAGUGGUAGAGAGUGUGCUUAGCACGCGCAAGGUCCUGGGUUCAAUCCCCAGUCCCUCCU